GGGGAGAACAUCGCAGCAACCGCGGAAACCCCUUUAACCAUGAAACGCCGCACGCAGAAAGGCCAGCAAAACUCACCGGCGGAGCAGCGCGAUGUCGGGGAGAUGCUGCGACGCCAGACACAACCCAAGAUGGCCACUGAAGAGGCCCCCUUCGCGCCCAUGCGGCCUACACAGCUGGCCCAAACUCCAGCAACACAAACAGAGGGGCCACUAAGUAAUACACUCCCAGCCCUCACAGAAAUAGUGGAACACAACUUAGCCACCAAACAAGACCUCCAACGUUGGAUGCACGAGCUCCAAGACCUAAUAGCCAAAGACAUAGGCACUAUAAAAGCGGAGGUGCGCCAAAUUACAGGCAGAGUACACGCAGUAGAGGAGAGUGUAGUGACAAUAGGCAACGAGAUGACUCACCUUAAAGAAACGCUGUACACAAUGCAAACAGCUCAUCAGGCGCUAGAGGUGCAGGUCUCCACCCAAGGGGACCGCCUGCGUCGUAACCACAUCAAGCUCCGAGGGGUGCCCGCGGCGAUCACACAGGCUGAACAGCCUCAUUUCCUAAGGAGGCUCCUAGCCACAAUCCUGCCACCAGCAGCUGCCCGGAAAAUCACACUGGAGUGCUCAUACCGACUGCCAGCAGGACCCAACU